CAUGUAUAGUGGUAAACCUUUUUCAAUGUUAAGUAUUGUCAUAAGUUAACAUAUUUCAUUAACAUUAUUGUUAUUGUUGUCUUUUAAAUUUGUUAUUGUAGUAAACAUUCAAAAUUCAGGAGAAUUUUAUUCUUUUAAGGAGGGGGAAAUGUAAUGUAUAUUUCAUGUAUAACAUGUAAAUAUCAUCCGAAUUCAUUCCUAAUCCGAAUAUCGGUGCACAUUAUUUUUGUUGUUCACAUAUUGUCUAUGCAGUGCACUGCAUUUAGCAAGAUAAUGUUCUCCAAGAUUUAAUAUAUUUAUAUAUUUGUAUUUACCUUGUGUUUAGUCCAUUAUAUGUUGUUUGUUGUGAGAAUAAUCCAACAUGUUCGAAAUUCCUGCACUGUCAAAAUCGUUGCAGCAAUGUAUAUUGAUGACGUCAUACGUAGGAAUAUGGUGGAGUGUUAUUGCAUGCAUUUGACUUUAAAAUAGGCUGUAAAAUUAUAAUAUUCACUCCUCUAUUUGUAUAAAAAGAUGAUAUUUAUUAUAACUUGCAAACUCUUCAUUUAUAUUAACUGUUAAAACAUAAUAGUUUGCAGGGAACUAUUUGAUACGCUGAAUGCGUAAGAAUUUCUUAAGAUUUCAUGCUGCAGCAUUUAAUAUUGUAUUGUUAUACAUGCAUAUUUAAAGGUGUCUAUUGUUUCAAGUCAUCAAACUUAUUGCCUUCUUUGAUUAAGAUGUGAUAUUUAUGAUGAUUGUCGAUUUAUUAUUUUUAGAAGUAUGUUCUUGUUUACAUGUAACCGCAUUACUUCCAUACAUGGUGCAGGAUGCUGCAGGAUUGUGAUUGGCUGCAGCUGAAUCUUUGGCUGCAGCCAAAUCUGCAGCAUCCAAAGGGUAUAAAAGGAGGUUAUCCGCACAGUUUUGGCAACAGUUGCUAACAACAAACAUCACUGUUCGAUCAAUUGAAAACCCUUCCAAAAAGUCAUGAUUUCAAUCAAUGCCGAAAACGAAGUGCGAUGCUGGAUUGAUUUGAAUGCCUCCGGUAAUGUACCCAGGAUGUUCUUGUUCCAAAUUGUCAACAACAAGAUCAAAAUACACAUGGGGAUUAUAAAAGGAAAACACUAACCAGUAUCAUGGAUGAGUAUAUGUUUAAACUCAGAGAUGAUCAACAUCGCCAUUUGGUGAAGCCUUUCUCUCUGCAUGUGCUGGACAGAAGCCUUGACGCAAUCUCUGCUAUACAUGAUAAGGGGUGGGCGCACAACGACGUGCACGGUGGUAAUUUGAUGCUAGACAGUGACAUGCGCGUAAAGGUGAUUGACUUUGGAGGAGCAACAAAAUGUGAAGAAAAUGCAUAUGUGGCUGAACAUGAAAAGCACACUAAUAAAAUUUUGAAAGACCACAAGGAGGCCCUGCGAGUAUUCAGUGGAUUGUAUACCACUAACACGUUCAAUAGUGUUAAGGAUUUCGAGGACAAAUUACAGAAAUGUAUUUGAACAGUUCUUCACGAUUUUGAUCAGCCUAGUGGACAAUUCCUCAUGGAGGUGGCGAAACUAAUGUUUCCUGAACGAUUCCAGGCCAUCCUCCUUUCAGAACAUGUCCAACAAAUGGAAACGGAUGAAGGCGAUGAAGAAGAUGAGGCAGAUUGUAUCGAUUUUGAGCCAUGUUGCGCGGCACCUGACAUUGAAAAGUUGGCCGCAUCUAAGUUACUCGCUCAAGUCCUCGGCAAGUUUGGAAUUGGUCAGUUUUAGAAAGGCAGAAAAAUUAUGUCAACAUCCGCGAACAUAUUUGUCUGGUUCGGGGUAUCGUAUGAAAUAUCAGCUCCUAUUACACACCACGUGAUAAUGGUCGAUUCAAAUAUUAUAUAUGUUUAUAUUUUGUACUCGUUAUAUAUUUCAUUUGUUAGGUGUGUCUUUAAACCAUAUAUUUGGAUAGUCUCCAAGGAAUAUCUUAAGAUCAGACAAACUUGUAUGAAAUUAAACAAAAUAUAAAACAUGAGUUAUGAAUAAAAACCACAUACAAUGA